CUCUUUACCUUUAUUUCUACAAGUCUUAAAUUAUCACAAAUAAUAAGUACAAUACGUGUGGCACAAUGCACUCCAGCCCUGACCUUUUUUACAACUAAAGUUGCCAUCUGAAAAAAAACUUACCAUCCGAAAAAAAGUUGUCAUGCUUGACUAUUAAAAUUGUCAUACUUGCAUCACUAAGUUUGCCAUGAAAAACGUUCGGAGUUGCCAUGUGUUUGUACCACACAUGUGACACUUAUCAUUGUCCUAAAUUAUUUGUCUGUUAAUUUAUAAUACAUACUGUAAAAUUUCCGGACAAUUCAAAUCAAAAGGAAGGUAAAACGAAGAAAGUGUCAACAAAGAAUUUUGUGAACAUUCAUGGGGGAUCAAUAUCAUGAGUUGUCCAGGAAGAAACAAUAAUAACAGAAGCUAAAAUAUAAACCGACACCCUGGGUUUAGAUUACUAGAUACACACACAAACACAUUUGUUGCCUCGAUUGUUUCCUCUCCACCGAUCAACCCACGUACGCAUGCACACAAGAUGAGUAUCUUCACUUCUGCUCUGCUCUAGUUAGACUCGAGCUGCGCGUACCACACACCCUGGAUCUUGACAUCCUUGGGCGCCUUGGCGCCGAGGUCGGUGUCUGACGGCUGCACGCUCUCGAAGACACCGAUCACCUCGCCGGUCUCCGGCUUGCUCUUGGUCACGCUGAGCGUGAUGUUGCCCGUGGACGAGGACGCGUUCUUCACGUUCUCCUUAGCCAACUCCUCCUCGUCUCCUCUGCCUCCGGCGGGUAGCGCCACGGCGUUGUCGUAGCCAGUAGAGCCACCACGGCCCUUUGGGUCGAGGAAAGACGAACCCCUGUAGCUGGGCACGAGGAAGGGCCCGCUGAAGCUCUCGGGCUUGCCGGUAGCGACGAGCUGCUUGACGGUGAAGAGGAAGGGCACUCGCUCGCCUCCGGGGAGCUGCACGGUGACGGCCGCGUAGUCGAUGCCGUCCUUCUCCUCGAACUUGAGGGUGCCGUCGGCGCCGACCUCGAGCGGGCCUUCCAUCUCGUCAAGGGUGUAGGUGAGACGGGUCAUGAGCUUGGUUUUCUGGAAGGCCGGCGGCUCGUUCUUCUGGAUGCCCUCGGCCUUGACGGUGAAGGAGGUGGGCUCCAGGCAGAACUUCUUCAUCUCGUACUUGCCGGCCUUGAAGGGGAAGGAGUCGACGCCGCCGUCGAUGGUCGGGCACUGGUUCGCGGUGCCGGUACCCUUCACCUCCAUGUAGGUCUUGCUCUGGAUCUCGUCGAAGGUCAGCCUCUUGGGCGCCCCCUCCGCGCUCGCGCCCUGCACCCACGCCUGUCACUCUAGCUAGCUGGACUGGAGUGGAGUAAACGGCCAUGGACGGCAAUAGAAUGGAUUAGUCAGCUUACGGAGACGAGGAGGGCAGAGGUGGCGAGGGCGAAGCCGGCCAUCUUGGCGGCGUCGGCGCACUUGCUUGCGACCUCCCUGAUGUCGGACUGCAGGGAGCAGGUGAUCCUGGCGCCAGCGUCAACGCCGAACGCCCGGGCGACGUGCGACGACGGCCGCGCGGAGGAGGCCCGGCCGCCGAUCUUGGCCGGCAUCAGCGUGGCCGCGGCUUGGAGAGACGCUGCCAUGUUGGUCGGUGGCUUGG
rnacentral:lncRNA from 1 species